rnacentral:lncRNA from 1 species
UUUAAUUCAAAAUACGAAAGAAGAAUUUAUUUAAAAAUUUUUGGUGAAACUCACAUAUUUUUUGGAUCAAUAUUAAAAUUAAUAUGAAUUAAUGAAAAUCAAAUGAAAUAAAAUAAAAAUCAAAAAAUCAAAAAAAACGUGGACCACUUGAUCUCCCUCAUUAAUUAAGGUGGCAGAUCAAGUGGACAUGAACGCACGUUCCACCAUACACCUAGUCAACUGUUCCAUACGCGUGGUAAUUACUUUGGGCGCUCAGGGUUAAAACACUUGAAAUGAGAUCAAUGGCUCAGAACCUAUCCAGCACACCACCGACGUUGGACCUCCGAUCACCUUCUCAGGCGAGGUCCACCGGACUGGUUC